rnacentral:rRNA from 1 species
AUACGGAGGGUGCAAGCGUUAAUCGGAAUUACUGGGCGUAAAGCGUACGUAGGCGGCAAGUUAAGUUAGAUGUGAAAGCCCCGGGCUCAACCUGGGAACUGCAUUUAAAACUGGCUUGCUAGAGUUGAGUAGAGGGGAGUGGAAUUUCAGGUGUAGCGGUGAAAUGCGUAGAGAUCUGAUGGAACACCAGUGGCGAAGGCGACUCCCUGGACUCGAACUGACGCUGAGGUACGAAAGCGUGGGUAGCAAACGGGAUUAGAAACCCCUGUAGUCC